rnacentral:rRNA from 1 species
AGCCUUAAGGAAUUAAUUUAAGGUUAAACCUGCCCAGUGUAAUUUUAUCAACGGCCGCGGUACUUUGACCGUGCUAAGGUAGCGCAAUCAAUUGGCUUCUAAUUAAGGCCAGGUAUGAAUGGAAUCACGGAGUUCGGCUGUCUCUCAACUAAUCUAUCAAAAUUACUAUUUAGGUGAAAAAGCCUAGAAAAAGAAAAAAGACGAGAAGACCCUUAGAGUUUCACUAAAAUUAGUACAUAACUUACUAAAACAGUUUAGUUGGGGCAACAUGGGAACAUAUAAACCUCCUAAAAAUAACACACCGAUAAUUAUAAAUCUGGAUAAACUACCUUAGGGAUAACAGCAUAAUUUUAUAAAUAAGUUUGUGACCUCGAUGUUGGACUAGGAACCUUAAAGGCUAGCCGCCUUUCAGGAAAGUUCUGUUCGAACUAUGUUCUCCU